rnacentral:rRNA from 1 species
ACCGUACCCCGCGAAUAAGGCUCGGCUAACUCUGUGCCAGCAGCCGCGGUAAGACAGAGGAGCCAAGCGUUGUCCGGAUUGACUGGGCGUAAAGCGCACGCAGGCGGUCGUGCACGUGGGGUGUGAAACCUGGCCGCUUAACGGCCAGACGCCACCGCAUACGGCGCGACUUGAGAGUGGCAGAGGUUCGUGGAAUUGCCGGUGUAGUGGUGAAAUGCGUAGAGAUCGGCAGGAACACCAAGGGCGAAAGCAGCGAACUGGGCCAUAUCUGACGCUCAGGUGCGAAAGCGUGGGGAGCGAACCGGAUUAGAUACCCGGGUAGUCCACGCCGUAAACGAUGAAUACUCGGCAUCUGGUGGCCGAUUUUCGGCGGCCGGGUGCCCCAGCUAACGCGGUAAGUAUUCCGCCUGGGAACUACGAGCGCAAGCUUAAAACUCAAAGGAAUUGACGGGGGCCCGCACAAGCAGCGGAGCGUGUGGUUUAAUUCGACGCAACGCGCAGAACCUUACCCAGGUUUGACAUGGCACUGCAAGCCGCUGAAAAGCGGUCGCCUUCGAGG